GCAGUCGUGGCCGAGUGGUUAAGGCGAUUGACUAGAAAUCCACUGGGAUCUCCCCGCACAGGUUCGAUAUCCUGUCGACUGCG
rnacentral:tRNA from 2 species